GAUGAACGCUGGCGGCGUGCCUAAUACAUGCAAGUCGAGCGAACAGACGAGGAGCUUGCUCCUCUGACGUUAGCGGCGGACGGGUGAGUAAUAUGUGGAUAACCUACCUAUAAGACUGGGAUAACUUCGGGAAACCGGCGCUAAUACCGGAUAAUAUAUUGAACCGCAUUGUUCAAUAGUUAAAGACGGUUUUGCUGUCACUUAUAGAUGGAUCCGCGCCGCAUUAGCUAGUUGGUAAGGUAACGGCUUACCAAGGCAACGAUGCGUAGCCGACCUGAGAGGGUGAUCGGCCACCCGGGAACUGAGACACGGUCCAGACUCCUACGGGAGGCAGCAGUAGGGAAUCUUACGCAAUGGGCGAGAGCCUGACGGAGCAACGCCGCGGGAGUGAUGAAGGUCUUCGGAUCGGAAAACUCUGUUAUUAGGGAAGAACAAAUGUGUAAGUAACUAUGCACGUCUUGACGGUACCUGAUCAGAAAGCCACGGCUAACUACGUG
rnacentral:rRNA from 1 species